rnacentral:rRNA from 1 species
AUUCUGCCAGUAGUCAUAUGCUUGUCUCAAAGAUUAAGCCAUGCAUGUCUAAGUAUAAGCAAUUAUACCGUGAAACUGCGAAUGGCUCAUUAAAUCAGUUAUCGUUUAUUUGAUAAUACCUUACUACUUGGAUAACCGUGGUAAUUCUAGAGCUAAUACAUGCUGAAAAUCCCGACUUCGGAAGGGAUGUGUUUAUUAGAUAAAAACCAAUGCCCUUCGGGCUCCUUGGUGAUUCAUAAAGGCGUGGAGCCUGCGGCUUAAUUUGACUCAACACGGGGAAACUCACCAGGUUCAGAUGAAAUAAGGAUUGACAGAUUGAGAGCUCUUUCUUGAUUUUUCAGGUGGUGGUGCAUGGCCGUUCUUAGUUCGUGGGGUGACUUGUCUGCUUAAUUGCGAUAACGAGCGAGACCUUACUCUGCUAAAUAGCCAGGCUAGCUUUGGCUGGUCGCCGGCUUCUUAGAGAGACUAUCAACUCAAGUUGAUGGAAGUUUGAGGCAAUAACAGGUCUGUGAUGCCCUUAGAUAUUCUGGGCCGCACGCGCGCUACACUGACAGAGCCAACGAGUUCUUUCCCUUGGCCGAAAGGUCUGGGUAAUCUUGUUAAACUCUGUCGUGCUGGGAUAAAGCAUUGCAAUUAUUGCUUUUCAACGAGGAAUGCCUAGUAAGCGCGUGUCAUCAGCAUGCGUUGAUUACGUCCCUGACCUUUGUACACACCGCCCGUCGCUACUACCGAUUGAAUGGCUCAGUGAGGCCUUCGGACUGGCUCGGGGAGGUUGGCAACGACCACCCAAGCCGGAAAGUUGGUCAAACUCGGUCAUUUAGAGGAAGUAAGCCGCAAUGAUUAACAGGAACAGUCGGGGGCAUCAGUAUUCAGUUGUCAGAGGUGAAAUUCUUGGAUUUACUGAAGACUAACUACUGCGAAAGCAUUUGCCAAGGAUGUUUUCAUUAAUCAGUGAACGAAAGUUAGGGGAUCGAAGACGAUCAGAUACCGUCGUAGUCUUAACCGUAAACUAUGCCGACUAGGGAUCGGGCGAUGUUCUUUUUCUGACUCGCUCGGCACCUUACGAGAAAUCAAAGUUUUUGGGUUCUGGGGGGAUUAUGGUCGCAAGGCUGAAACUUAAAGAAAUUGACGGAAGGUCACCACCAGGCGUGGAGCCUGCGGCUUAAUUUGACUCAACACGGGGAAACUCACCAGGUUCAGAUGAAAUAAGGAUUGACAGAUUGAGAGCUCUUUCUUGAUUUUUCAGGUGGUGGUGCAUGGCCGUUCUUAGUUCGUGGGGUGACUUGUCUGCUUAAUUGCGAUAACGAGCGAGACCUUACUCUGCUAAAUAGCCAGGCUAGCUUUGGCUGGUCGCCGGCUUCUUAGAGAGACUAUCAACUCAAGUUGAUGGAAGUUUGAGGCAAUAACAGGUCUGUGAUGCCCUUAGAUAUUCUGGGCCGCACGCGCGCUACACUGACAGAGCCAACGAGUUCUUUCCCUUGGCCGAAAGGUCUGGGUAAUCUUGUUAAACUCUGUCGUGCUGGGGAUAAAGCAUUGCAAUUAUUGCUUUUCAACGAGGAAUGCCUAGUAAGCGCGUGUCAUCAGCAUGCGUUGAUUACGUCCCUGACCUUUGUACACACCGCCCGUCGCUACUACCGAUUGAAUGGCUCAGUGAGGCCUUCGGACUGGCUCGGGGAGGUUGGCAACGACCACCCCAAGCCGGAAAGUUGGUCAAACUCGGUCAUUUAGAGGAAGUAAAAGUCGUAACAAGGUCUCCGUAGGUGAACCUGCGGAGG